CCUACGGGUGGCAGCAGUGGGGAAUCUUGCACAAUGGGGGAAACCCUGAUGCAGCGACGCCGCGUGAGUGAAGAAGUAUUUCGGUACGUAAAGCUCUGUCAGCAGGGAAGAACAUGACGGUACCUUACUCAGAAGCCCCGGCUCACUACGUACCAGCAGCCGCGGGAAUACGUAGGGGGCAAGCGUUCUCCGGAUUUACUGGGUGUAACGGGAUUGUAGACGGCAGCGCAAGUCUGGAGUGAAAUCCCAUGGCUUAACCAUGGAACUGCUGUGGAAACUGUGCAGCUAGAGUGCAGGAGAGGUAAGCGGAAUUCCUAGUGUAGCGGUGAAAUGCGUAGAUAUUAGGAGGAACACCAGUGGCGAAGGCGGCUUACUGGACUGUAACUGACGUUGAGGCUCGAAAGCGUGGGGAGCAAACAGGAUUAGAUACCCCGGUAGUC
rnacentral:rRNA from 1 species